GCUAGACUAUUGGAAUUGCUCUUAUCUCGUCCAACGCCUCGAGCCUCCCGAAGACAUUCACUCCGCCGCCACCCGCCGGCAUUCACUCCGCCGGUCGCCGCCUCCUCCUCUCCCCAACGCAUUCCCCUCCAAUUUCUGCCGGCCCAGCUCCCCCCCUCUCCCCCUCCCAUCCUCUCUAGUCCCACAGCGAGGAAUAGCCAGUCGGUGGGGCGGCUCGGCGGCCACCUGCAGCAGACGUAGCCAGCCACCAGCCGCGGCCAUCGCGGAUGCAGGCGUCCACGUUGUAGCGCCGGUCACCCAUCUCGGGCCCCGCUCACCGCCGGCGAGCGCGUCCGAGUGCCCCGGGUGUCUGCAUCUCCUGCUGACCCUCCUCCUCCUCCCUUUUCUCCAUCUCGGAUGGAUUGCAGCAGCUGCAGGGGCAGCCUCCUCCGAUAGCAGAAGGGGAUAAGGGGGGCGACCUGGACAUCCUCGAGCUCGCCCAGCCCCAACUCGAUGGAGGCGCCGCCCUUCAUGACGCCGCCCCGCAAAAGAUUGAUCAGACAUAUUCUUGAGCACCUAUGCGAGAGAGAUUGAACAGGAGACGCUUUGCAUCUUGCCGUGAAGUGGCGACCACAGUGGCGCUCUUGUUGGUGCUGAAGUCGGACAGUGACCAACGUCACCGCAACGCCAUGUGCACUCCUUCUCGGUCCUCCCUGCCCUCGGACCAAGAGCUGAGAGGCAUUUGGUGCGUCGCCGCCCUGAUCUAGCUGAUGAACCAAGGUUGCUAGCUGCUGCUACUACUGCAUGUCUUCGUUUUGUUUGUUCUGUCAUAGUGAGACAGAGAGAGGAGAUGCGCGCCUCACUGGAAGGUGACAACCAUGUACAACACAACUCUUGCCAACGAACAGCGACACCUCCACGCUAUGUUCCCUGUUGCCCUACUCGGCCCUCCCCGCCGCUUGGAUAGAGAGGUUGAUGGCCCGCACCUCCAUCAGCAACUCCUAUGUUUGUUCACUGUUCGUGCCACCUGGAGCAAGGAGUGGGCUGGAGUAGGGUAUGGACGUGGAUGAUGAUCCAGAAGGGGUGGAGGAGAAUGAGCUAGACAAUCUCGAUGAGGAAUUCGUCCAUCCCCAUCUCGAGCUCGAGGGAGAUGUUGAUGAUUGCAUGCAAAAGGUGCUACUUAUUAACGUGUCAACCAUUGGCUGCAUUUCAAUGAUUUAUCAAACGGGGACAUUCUAUUGUGGAAGGGCCAGUAUGAACACCGGUUGCUAGAAUGCUGCCUCUACUACGAGCUACAAGGCCAGAGAUAGUACCAGCGGGGCCUGCGACCUCCGGGAGCUUCUCUUCAUGUUCUCCAGUUUUGCACCUACAUGCUUGCUCCUGGUAUGUCCGAACAUCGAUGCCCAGUCUUGUCAUCGAUUGGAGUAGCAGGGCUCGUUGGAGCUAUGGGAUUCAGAAGGAAUGCCAUCUUGAUCAUCUUGUGGGAGAGAUAUUGAGCUGGAGAGGAGCCCUGCAGCUUGCCAGCAGUGGCGACCGCAUCGGUGCUCUUGCCUGGCAUCGACGCCGAAUGGCGACCAGCACCGCCACCCUCCUGCCUGAGCCUCCCUGUUGCCCAGACCAAGGGCUGAGAGGCGUGCGACCGACCCGACGCUGCUAUUGUCUUCCUUCGUCGAUAGUAACUGGCUUUGCAUGCUCAUCUAUGUAGAUAGUAGGCGAUAAGAUCGGAGCUUGGGUACAUGUGUUUGAGGCUCUUCCUCGGUAGUUCGACUUGGCCAACGCGACGGGGUCGACUAGGAAAGAGUUCCAGGGCGGCACCCCUCGUCUUGCCUUCCUCUUUGAGCUUCCCUCUGACUAGCAGGACCUCACUUUCUCCCAGUGGCAAGUAGAACUCGUGGCAUGUCCGGUGCUGCCAGAUAAACUUUCUUUUCUUGUGACUAUUACUAUUGAUUGAUGUGCUGUUUUUCGAUGUGAGCUCAAGAAUUUAUUCCAGGGGGGACUGAUGAGGAUGAGCCUGCUUAGCAUACCGUGCGCACCCUUGGUUGCUCUGUGGGACACAUGUUUCUGCCCUUUCUGAUGUCGGCGGAGAGGCCACUGCCAACAUCUUGUUGCUCGGUUGUGGAUGAGCUCGAGCGCAAAUUAAAUGGCAUCAAAAUUGGUGGAGUGAGUGAAGCAGCAGAUAGCCAAAAGAAGAUGAGGUGCAGUAUAGGGUUCGGCCUUUGUUUAAUUGAAUAGUUUGGAGGUUGAAUCUACAGUCGUGGAAUGCAAGAUUGAGCAUCCGUUCUCGUGUUGAUUGAUCUCUUUCCGCCGUCAGCCUGAUGGUGGUGGGCGCACAGCAACACAACCAUGGUGGCGGUGGUGUUCUUCUGCUACAACCGAACAGUACAUGCUCCUUCCAUCUUGCAACCCCCUCCGUGGUGCUCUGAAUCAUGGCCCUCAUGGCCUGGUGGUGUGUGUGAGUUCAUGUGCGUCUUGUGUUGAUGUUGAUGAGGACAACAUGUUUGAAUACCCCUUGAACAUGAGGUCUGGGUCUUGAGUUGGUCCGCAAAAGCACUCCAUAGGCCAUCAUUAUGUUCGGUGUCGAGGAAUAUGUAGCAGUUUCCACUCAGAAGACUCCAUGUGCACAACAAGAUGCUUUACUUCUGCUAGGAACGCCAAGGGGAACAAUGGUUCUAAACCUAGUACAAACACUACCGUGAAGGUAAAGAAGAAAAGAGCUAAGACCUGAAGUAACUAGUUUGUUCUUGUGCUCGUCCUUGCUAGCUCACUACAUCGACCAGGCCUGUUGCUGCUCUGACCUGUAGGAGAACUAAUGCUCCAACUACGUCCCCGUGUCCAAAAGUCACAUUGUUGUUCCAGUGGUGGUGUGGUGGCGUUGGUGCCCUCCGAUGGUGUUCUGGUGGUGGUGCCCUCUGUGUGUUCCGGUGGUGGUGCCCUAUGGUGGUUGUCCACCAGAGCUGCUAGCGGCAACCACGUGAGCUCCUACUAGUGCUGCUGGCGGCCAGUACAACCUGCUGCCCUUGCCUUCUUCGACCUGGAGCUGACGUCCCCGUGCCCGAAAGUCAAGUUGUUGUUUUGGUGGUGGUGUGGUGGCGCUGGCGCCCUCCGUUGGUGUUCUGGUGGCGGUGCCCUCCGUUGGUAUUCUGGUGGUGGUGUCCUCUGGUGGUGUUGUUCACCGGAGCUGCUGCCGGCAACCACGGGAACUCCUGCUGCCGCUGGUGCUGCUGGCAGUCUAGUACGACCUGCUGCCCCUGCCUUCUUCGACCUGGACGUCUCCUACAUCACAAUGUCCCCCCUCUGAAGCCCUAGUGGUGGAAGUUCAUCCGGGCGGCAACAUUUCAUAAAGAAGGUUCUUGUAAAGAAGUAUUUAUUGGAGCACUACACGGCCCGUCCUCGUGUGGCUCCGCAGACAUGGUCUAUUGCCAACUGGCUCGGGCGGUGCGGCUUGCCUCCGGUCCGUUAUGCCUUGACCCGGCGGCGUAUGCAGUACUGUUCCAUUUGUUGUAAUACUAAGUAGUCGAAUUGUGUCGUCCAAAUCAGUAGGUGUAGUUCUUUACCUGUGUAUUUCUUUAUUCUCUACUUGCACUUGUCAUCUUUACUACAUUCAUAUACUCCAUGUAUCCUUAAAUACCUAUGCGUUAUGCAUAGUACUAGUAGUUCAUUGUUUGCGAA